rnacentral:rRNA from 1 species
GACGAACGCUGGCGGCGUGCUUAACACAUGCAAGUCGAACGAAGUGGCGAACGGGUGAGUAACGCGUAAUAAACCUGCACUUCAGAGGGGGACAACAGUGGGAAACGACUGCUAAUACCGCAUACUGAAGGAGGGGAUUGCGUAUGAUUAGCUAGUUGGAGGGGUAACGGCCCACCAAGGGGAAGAUCAGUAGCCGGUCUGAGAGGGUGAACGGCCCCAUUGGGACUGAGGAACGGCCCCGACUCCCACGGGAGGGAGCAGUGGGGGAUCUUCCGCAAUUGACGAAAGUCUGACGGAGCAACGCCGCGUGAGUGAUGACGGCCUUCGGGUUGUAAAGCUCUGUUAAUCGGGGCGCGGUACCGGAAUAGAAAGCCACGGCUAACUACGUGCCAGCCGCCGCGGUAAUAC